GUUGUCCGGAAUUAUUGGGCGUAAAGAGCUCGUAGGCGGUUUGUCGCGUCUGCUGUGAAAACUCGGGGCUCAACUCCGAGCUUGCAGUGGGUACGGGCAGACUAGAGUGCGGUAGGGGAGACUGGAAUUCCUGGUGUAGCGGUGGAAUGCGCAGAUAUCAGGAGGAACACCGGUGGCGAAGGCGGGUCUCUGGGCCGUAACUGACGCUGAGGCGCGAAAGCGUGGGGAGCAAACAGG
rnacentral:rRNA from 1 species